CAACAGUGGAAGGCUUGUUGCCUCCACCUCUGGAAAUGCUUUUAGCAGACAGCCUCAGAUGAUAACCCUCUAUUUGUGCUUGCCUCUGUUCAAAACGGGCAAUGACCCAUUAGCCAGCACCUACUCAGUGUGGAAAUAAGACAGCCUGGUCCUUCCACCCUAACUUUUGGAAGAACCUUAAAGGUCACACUACUUGACAGUGCCCUCCAGGGUUGGCUGAGGCCCUCACACUGCAUCUUAGCUCAACUAUUACCUCUGCCCAAUCUUGCUUGCUUCCCUUCCUCCACAGGUGAUCAUCCAGAAAGCAUGGCCUAAUAAACAUGCUGCAUGAGAAUAUCCAUCUCGGUCUGAUUCCUAGGGAACCUACCCUGUGGCAGCCUGCAUUCCUGCCACCUUGGUCCUGCCAGUGAGCAAGCAUGGGGUGGCUUGUGAGAGUCAGUCUCUGAUGUCAUCAAUCUUGGCUUAUGUCUCUAACAGCAUACUUGGUGACCACUCAUGAAAAUGCAUACAUUGAUGUGAUAAUUCACAUAUUUUUUAAUGCAAAGUAGACAAAUGUCCUGUCUGAACGCUUGCCCAUUGGGAGGGCUUCCCAUUCCCUUUCAGGCUCACUGUUGUAUGGGGCCGUGACUGUAACUCUCAAUUUCUUAGUAUUACAAGCAUACUCUGCAGGAUCCAUCUGUACCCAGGUUUGCACACUUCUUGAGUUAAUCAGAAACAUCCCUAAAGGCAGCAGGUGGGUUGAGAGUUGGCAAAGCAACAAAAUUUACCAUGGGAUUCUGAGCUGCUUGCUCAUGAGAUACACUGUGCCUCCCGGAGUUCAGAAUUGGUCUUUGUUAUUUCAUGAUGCACUAUCAUGAUGCCUAAUACUGUGACCUGAGCUGGCUGUCAUAAACUGGAUUUUACUUGAGCCACCAAGUCUCUCAGUCAUGUGGUUUCCUACAGUCAGCUUCAGUCUCUAGCAGAGCCCAGCAGCAAGCCAGAGACUUUUUCAGGAGAAUAGGACAUGGACUUAACCACAAUCUAGACAGCUAGGAUUUUCACGACUGUAAGGCUGCAGAUAGCGUAGACAACAGCAGUGUCUCUGAACAUGCGACACCAUAAGGCCCUAGUAGUAGGGCAGGCUGCAUCUGUGGUCAAUCCCACUCUUAUUCUGGGCUCCACUUCAUCUUGGCAACUUAUAUGUAACCUGGCAAGUGGGUCUGUUCAGUACACAAAUAGGGUCUCUGUUGCCUCCAAAGUCGAAAAUAUGCACUAAGUAUUGGGCCACCUACUUCCUGGUGAGUAGGUACAAAAUACAAUGUAGAAGAGAUGUUCUGAUGUACCCAGGCCACUGAGGCAGGCCUAACAUUUUGAAGGGUAGUUAUAUUCUAACUUGUGGUACUAACUUCAUGGCAGUGCAUUUGGCUGUCACCUAGGGUGCUUGCCUCUUUCUGUCCAAGUUUAACCAAACAAUGCCUUGAAUGUUAUGGAACAGUAUAGAAGGCCCUAGGAUAUCAAGACCAACACUUGUGGACUCCAUUGUGAUGGAGCAGGACAGUUGGUAUAACCAUGAACUUACUGAAGCUGUGUUGUUGGCCAUGCCAGGUGAAAGCAAACUAUGUUGAGGAACAUCAAACUAACCCUUCAUAUAGUCCCUUACCUUAUUCUGUCUUAUAACUUGUCGCCUGGAUUAUAACGGGUGAGUGAGGUUAAGAUUUCUCAGCAUUGUCUUAAAGGAUUGAGAAUCUUUCUCACUUGUGUUCCUUGGCUAUAUUUAGGAGGUACAAUAAGUAACUCAGUGUUCUCUUGCACUAGCAAGGAUAAAUACAUCAAUGUCCUAGGUACACAUGUAAUGGACCAACUACAUGAAGUUCUAUCCAAUAUUAGGUCAACGUGUAGGUUCCUUUCAUUGACCUUUUUAAGUUGUGGUAAGAACACUUGUUCUACUCUAUCAACAAACUAAGUCCACAAUAGGAAUUAACUACAUAGUCACAAGUUCAGAUCUCUAGAACUUACAUGUAACUGGAACUUUUGAUGCUCAUUGAAUAGUUCCAUUGACUUCCAGUGGUUUCCGGACAUACCUCAUGGUAAAAUGGGAUCUAAGGGAAUUGGAAGGCCAUUGCCUGCUACAAACUACAGAACUUAUUGCUGAGUUUACUCUUGCCUCAGAAGGAGGAGCAGGCAUCUUUAGUGGGAGCUUCUUGUUGGUCCUGCUUUUGAGCAGGCAGUGGCUACCUGCAGCUUAGACUUCCUCUGGCAGAAUCAUGCAGAAACCGUAGCUGUGGAGCUAAGAAUCUGAACGCUGAUCCCAAAUUGUUUGUUCCAGAGGUUAUUGAUGAAUACCAGAUAAAGGAUUUUUCUGAAUCUCAAAAUGCCAGAAUGUCUCUUCCUAGAAGCUAGUAUAUAAUUAAGAUUUGGGUUUCCUGGUGAUUUUUUUUUUCCUGGUAUUUUCCUAUGAUUUGGUAUUCAUAGAAUUGGAUCCAUCUCUAUUAUCUUUUAGAAAUACUUUAUCUGGCAACCUAUGUAAUAUGAAUCUGAGUUAAUUUCUAUGACUUCUGAAAACUGAUCUGUUAAAACAUAUACAGAAACAUUGUCCCAGUGUAAGCCUGAGGGUCUUACCACCUCAGUGGAUGUGAAAUGUUGAUGGGUAGCAGCUGCCAGCAUCCUGUCCAGGAAUUCUAACGUGGGUUACUUGAGGGUAAACCAGUUUUGCCAAGACAAGUUAAUUUAGAUGGCUGAGUUUUUGUAGAUCUGAGUCAGAGCUUGAAUCUCUCAAUGAAGAUUUGAAAUGAGAUUCUGGAGAUGGUUACAGGACAGCUGUUAUUCUAGAACCUUCCAUCCUUAAUGUGCUGAUGAUGACGCUGUUGGUGAAGGAGAAUAUUGAGCAGCUUUGUAGCCAUGUAGGAGCACAGAUUUCAAGGAAGCAAUGGAAAAAUGCAGCUCUAUGGAGAGUAUGUCAUCAAUUUUUUCUUUUGAAACCAACUUUAUGUUCUAUGUAAAAAAAAAAAAAAAAAACUCCUCUGUUUCAAAACCUCUCUUCUGAGAUGCAAGAGAAAUGGAUAGCCUCUUGUCCACUAACUCUUAUUUCUCUGCCCAUCUUACGGUUCAUUUACUUUCUUGUACUUCAUUUAUGCUGCUACUACAAAAGUACCUUAGACUGGGUAACGUGCAAGAUCAAUUUUUCAGUUUUAGAGAUCAGGAAGUCCAAGAUGAAGGUGCCAGCAGACUUGGUGUCUGAGGGCUUGCUCUCUUCAAAGAUGGUGCCUUGUUGUUCGGUCCUCAUGUGUUGGUCUUCAUAUACAUAUGUAUCUUACCUGGUAGAAGAAACCGCCUCUCUCAAACCUCUUUUUUAUGGGCGCUAAUCCCAUCAUGAGGGCAGAGCCUAAUCACCUCCUAAAGGAUCCCUUAAUAUCCCAUUUGGGGUUAAGUUCUGGCAUCUGAAUUUCUCAGAAACACUUAGACCAAAACACUGUGGGACCCAGAACUGCUGUCAAAACAGCCCCCUGGGAGCAUGGGUCUCUUAUAGAAAUAGCUGUUUUUAUAGGUCACUAUGACAUUGUUUGGGCUCUGUCCCAAGUACCAGUUGGUCUCCUUGGAGCUCUCAAACAUAAACAUUCAUGAACAUAGGUUAUGGUCAUGAAUAUUCAAGGUGAUCCAUAGGUCAAAGUCUACAUUGGAAUGGUGAGACGUUUCAGUCAGAAAAAACUGUUAGUCAAGGUUCUCCAGUGACACCAAACCAAUAGAAUACAUGAGUUACAAAUAUUGGCCUAUGUAAUUAUGGGGGCCAAGAGGCCCAAAGACAUGCCAUUUACAAGCUGGAGUACCUG
rnacentral:lncRNA from 1 species